GAACAACUUUAUAUGAUAAUGGAUUGUUUUAAAAAUAUAGUGAUGAGAUUUUGGAGUAGAUUAAAUGGAGCUAAUAAAAAGGACUCAAAUUCGAAUAGUAAUAAAAAUAAUAAUAAAAAGAUUAAUAGUAAUAGUAAUAAUUAUUAUAAUAAUAGUAAUAAUAAUUAUUAUUAUAAUAAUUGUAAUAAUAAUAAUAAGUAUACGAUUUAUGAAAAUUGUAACGUAAAUAAUACCAGAAAUCUGGGUUUCUAUAAUACAUGCACAAUCUUUUUAUUAUUAUUAUUAUUAUUAAUUCUAAUAUGUAAUACUUUUUUCUUUUACUUUUAAAAAUUAUUCAAAUUUAUUAAUUAAACACUGCUAUCUUUCUUUUGCUAUUAAUAAAAAAUGAAAUUGAACCUAAAAUUCUACCAAAAAAAAAAAAAAAAAAAAAUAAUAAUAAUAAUAAUUUGACUGUGAUGAAAGGCUCUAAACUACAGGGAUGUGCAAAGUCGGUCCUGUCGUGUCUUGCGGAUUUUAGCUUUAACUCUAAUCAAAACAGCAUGUCAGUUUCAAGUAAUGCUAACUUGGACCUAAAAUCUAAAGCAGGACACGCAGGACCGACGUUGCCCAUCCCUGUGAAUGACAAUUCAGCUCACCACUGUAUUUGCAAAACUGUCCAUUCCCCGGCAGUUAAAGAGAGAGAGUACCUCACCCAAACAACAUCUUAUGUACUGUACUGAACAUGUGUUGGUCUAGAGAAGAUGUUUCAAAGUGAGUUGCAGAAGUGAUUUUGAAACGCAUCUUGGACAAAAACAUCAGAUCUUUAAGGAAAUUUGUACCCUCUGCAACUUCCUCUCAACAUCAUCUGAAACAUCCUUUAUCUAUACAGCAAGCAUUAUGGAUCAAGCCCUCAGUGCAGUCAAGACUCUCUCUCCAUAAAAUAGAAAAACUUGUUUUUUGUUUUUUUGAGAAUAUUGUUUUCAUUAAAAAGCAAAGAAACAAUG